CCUGACGACCAUAGCGAGGUGGUCCCACCCCUUCCCAUCCCGAACAGGACCGUGAAACACCUCAGCGCCGAUGAUAGUGCGGAUUGCCCGUGUGAAAGUAGGACAUCGUCAGGC
rnacentral:rRNA from 1 species